rnacentral:rRNA from 1 species
ACACGGUCCAGACUCCUACGGGAGGCAGCAGUGGGGAAUAUUGGACAAUGGGCGAAAGCCUGAUCCAGCCAUGCCGCGUGUGUGAAGAAGGUCUUCGGAUUGUAAAGCACUUUAAGUUGGGAGGAAGGGCAUUAACCUAAUACGUUAGUGUUUUGACGUUACCGACAGAAUAAGCACCGGCUAACUCUGUGCCAGCAGCCGCGGUAAUACAGAGGGUGCAAGCGUUAAUCGGAAUUACUGGGCGUAAAGCGCGCGUAGGUGGUUUGUUAAGUUGGAUGUGAAAUCCCCGGGCUCAACCUGGGAACUGCAUUCAAAACCGACUGACUAGAGUAUGGUAGAGGGUGGUGGAAUUUCCUGUGUAGCGGUGAAAUGCGUAGAUAUAGGAAGGAACACCAGUGGCGAAGGCGACCACCUGGACUAAUACUGACACUGAAGUGCGAAAGCGUGGGGAGCAAACAGGAUUAGAUACCCUGGUAGUCCACGCCGUAAACGAUGUCAACUA